CCAUGGCUAAGCUCCAGCAGCUUAAUCUCCUUCGACACAAGCGCACACACCACCAAGAAGCCCAUCUUCUCCAUGUCAAGAUCAAAAGGCUCGUCCAUGGCUGCGUCUUCGUCGUCAACCCAUCGCCAUGUUUGUUGCUUUUUCUUGCUGCCUCUGCGUCGUCCAUGGCUUCCCGAACUGCUGCUCCAUUUUCUCCAUAAGCUGCUGAACGCAGCAGCAGUAGACGACCAGCUGCUCCUCCGCCGUAGUUGUCGUUGUUGCUGCUCGAAACUGCGCAAGGCUGCGGCUCCAGCUCCUCGCCAUUGUUGCUAGCUGCGAGCUUCUGCUUCAUGCUGCCAUGGUCGACCAGCUGCUCCUGUUCUGUCGCGUCAACUGCUGCCCGUGUCCAGCUGUGACGAGCAGCCAUGGCUGUCCGCGACGCUGCCGCUGCUCCUCCUUCCUCCGCCGCUGCUUCUACUUCUUCUUCGUCUUCGUCGUCCUUCGUUCGAGCUUUGAUCGAGGCUCGGACAGAUUUGUUUACAAUCAAAGUUCGUCGUUGAUUCACCUCCGGUUAGUUGUUUUUGAGUUUUAUUUUUGUCCAUAUUUUUGUUUGAUAUUUUCC
rnacentral:lncRNA from 1 species